rnacentral:lncRNA from 1 species
UAGACAUAUUUCAUUAAACAUUCAUAAUACUCAAUGUUUAUAUGGUAAAUAAUUAUUGUACCAAAAUGUGGUUUAUAUAAAUAGCAAAUCAUGAUGAUAUACAAAUCAUUCAUUUAAUAAAAGAACAAUUUGUGUAAUGUCACCUGUUAGAAUACACAUGGACAGGAUGUUCCCCAUAAAAUUAAGGUAUUCCACACCCCAGAGUACACGCAACUGUCAAAUAGAAAUUACUGAUUUACCUGUAAUCAGCCAUACAACUUGUCAGUUGACUGACCAUGCCAG